AUAGGGAUUGCCGAAUGGUUAUGGCAUUGGACUUAACAUCCAAUUGGUGUGUACCCUUGUGGGUUUGAACCCCACUCCUGGUA
rnacentral:tRNA from 1 species